rnacentral:rRNA from 1 species
CAGAGGGGGCAAGCGUUAUUCGGAAUUAUUGGGCGUAAAGGGCGCGUAGGCGGCUUUUCAAGUGACGGGUGAAAUCCCUCGGCUUAACCGAGGAACUGCCUGUCAGACUGGAAGGCUUGAGACCGGGAGAGGUGAGUGGAAUUCCCAGUGUAGCGGUGAAAUGCGUAGAUAUUGGGAGGAACACCAGUGGCGAAGGCGGCUCACUGGACCGGAACUGACGCUGAGGCGCGAAAGCGUGGGGAGCAAACAGGAUUAGAUACCCUGGUAGUCCACGCCGUAAACGAUGAGUGCUUGGUGUAGCGGGUAUCGACCCCUGCUGUGCCGACGUCAACACAUUAAGCACUCCGCCUGGGGAGUACGGUCGCAAGACUG